UGGGGAAUAUUGGACAAUGGGGGCAACCCUGAUCCAGCCAUGCCGCGUGUGUGAAGAAGGCCUUUUGGUUGUAAAGCACUUUAAGCGAGGAGGAGGCUACCUGUAUUAAUACUAUAGGCUAGUGGACGUUACUCGCAGAAUAAGCACCGGCUAACUCUGUGCCAGCAGCCGCGGUAAUACAGAGGGUGCGAGCGUUAAUCGGAAUUACUGGGCGUAAAGCGCGCGUAGGCGGUUUGUUAAGUCGGAUGUGAAAUCCCCGGGCUCAACCUGGGAAUUGCAUUCGAUACUGGCAAGCUAGAGUAUGGGAGAGGAAGGUAGAAUUCCAGGUGUAGCGGUGAAAUGCGUAGAGAUCUGGAGGAAUACCGAUGGCGAAGGCAGCCUUCUGGCCUAAUACUGACGCUGAGGUGCGAAAGCAUGGGGAGCAAACAGGAUUAGAUACCCCCGUAGUCCCUGAGCGGGCUGGCAAGGCGCAU
rnacentral:rRNA from 1 species